UUUCCCUCUCAAUAGUCCUGGUCUAUGCGGAAAGGUUUUCACACCUACUUUAGAAAGAGGCAGGGUAACACAGACAAAUCAAUGUCUGCAAAAACUCAGGAACAUGACCACAGUGAAAGCAUGCUUUGGACUCUUCACCAAGACAGAUGCACAAACAGGAAAUGUUCUGGAGUUGGUGGCCUUUUCUGUGAUGGCAAGGGGCUGACUUCAUUUACUCAUCUAACAAGCAUUUCCUGAACAAAUAUUUAUCCUGUGGCAGGUGCUGAGGUUGCAUCCAGGGUUGAGUCUCUCCUGGAAAACACAAGCACGGUCUCACGUGUUCUAGACUGGCCUUGGACUUGCUAUGAAGCUGAAGGUAACCCUGAACUCCUGAGAUCCUGAGUCUACCUCUGUAGUGCUAGGACUACAGGCCCAGGAACAGGCCCUACUUGCCAGUGAGCGAUGGAAGAGGAAGAUGAGAGGUGAGCUGGCUCUCACUACUCAGUGGUGCAUUGGCCACAGGAUGACAGUACGCUUGGCAGAUUUGAUUCAGCCCACUAAGGAGGUCACAGGAAGGCCCACAAGCCGCAGAAGGGCUGGGCACAAUUACAGGGUGUUUUCUACACACGGUCCUACUGUGUACACAUUUUUUUUUUAAAUUAUGGGAGACAAUGAUAUUUUUCAGUCUUCUUUGUGCCUCUGCCACGCAGUUCCAACUGUUUGAUCAAUUAGCCAAGAGAACCUCACACAAGAACUCCUUUGAUAUUGACCUUAAGCAAGAUUUACUGCUAAAAAGCGAAACAAAAAAGCCCAAAAGACAAACUUGUUUGGGCAGUGCUUCCAAUCCCCAAUUAAUCAGAAGUGCAUUUUUUUAAACAUUCCACAGUCAAAUUGACCCUUAACUGUCCACAUUUCUACUACUAGUUAAAUUUACAUAAAACUGGAUCCCAAUCAAAUUUAUUCUAAGGAAGUUAAAUAUCAAUCAACCGGGGAGAGAAUAGGGAGGUAGAAACAACUAAGUCAUUUCAUUGUCUCUCUGCUUUGGCUGCCAUUAGGCAUUGGUCAGUGUGUAGUCACUACAUAAAAGAAGCAAGUGCUCCCACCUCAAGGAUUUACAAAGGUCUGAACUAAAUGGUCACUCUGACACCUAGAGAGGGGUUGACACUGAGAUGAAAUUAGAAUCUUGUCACAACUUAGUAGUUAUUUCAAAACUGCAAUCUACGUAUUAGAAGCAAAACAAGGACUUGGGAUAGUUAUGUAAAAAAGCCUGGCUGACAAGGAAAUUCUCAUUGUUCAAUGCUGGCCUUGCAUCUUGGGAACAGGCAGCUGUCAUUCUUCCUGAUAUUUGAUCUUUAAGUGAAGUUUUUUUCUAUGGCAGCAGACACAAACUGCUUCCUUCCUUAAUGACUCUGGGUUCACACCAACACAGCUGUGCUAAGGGAUAUAUUGCCUGAUUUUAGGGGAAACAACAACAACAACAAAACCACACACAUGCACACAUACACACACACACACACACACACACACACACACACACACACACACACCCCUCCCAAUGCCAGACAUUUAGAGCCAGAGUUCCUCAACAUGCACUGGAGAUUUCAAGAUGGGUUAUAACAGGGCUUCAGGGCCACUUGGCUUGAGCAGCUGGAAAUGAGAACCCAUUUCCUCAAUGACUAAGAUAUCAUAAAAGCUGAGAGGUCACACUUUUCUGCCAAAGCAGAACUUGCUUUGACUGUGGAAAGAAAGCAGCAGUGAGUGACCACAGAGCCACAAGUAACCAGAGAACCUACCAAACCCUUUCCAAGCCGUGCGACUCCCUUGUAGUAGUCAAUCAUUUGCUCUGCAAACUGCCACAGAAGGAAAGGGAUUAUAGGGUGACCCAGGUUUCUCUGCUUCUCAGUUCUUCCUUGCUCAGCAGCAAACUAAUUGUGGAGGGCUGCUAGAAUACACAGACAGGAAGAACAAAACAUAUAUGCACACAUGAGCUAUGGCAUAUGAAUUGCAAAAUGCUAUUGAUUUUAGUUGAUGAGUUGAAAGCUUAUAGAUUUAUUAUCAAAUUAGUACUCUAUAAUUUAGAAUGAUAAAAAUCAAAGCAAAUAAUUUAAAAUUUAACACUCCUUUACUUUGAGUGAUGGUAAACAGCAAACACCGGAAGGCAGUAAAAAAAAAUAGAGAGUGCUUUAUACUUCAGGACCUUUCUAGGCACUUUCUCCUCUCUUGAAAAGGAGUACCACAUGCUUGUUCCCCAUUGGUCAAGUUAAGUCACUAGCACUGGAUCAAGAUACAUCCAAGGCACUGCUGAUGACCUUACCCCUUAGGGGUCUGCACAGGGCUUGUAGGGUGUGGUGGCACCUACACCUCUUGCCUAUUCACUGUCUACUUGGCAGCCUUGGACAGACCCUCUAGCAUGCUGUUCUAAGAUGAGAAUCCUGAGGUACAUGUGUCCCGGAACUCUGAGCAGCUUCUUUGGGGGUCACCUAGAAUGCCACUGCUAUCACAGCUGACUCUUGGGUCCAUCACAGGCACCCUUACGGACCUGCACGUGUACAGGAUUCAUGUGAUAUAUAUGUACCUCCCAGAGCACUGAAUCUUGGGUCCUCUGCUGAGUGUCACCUAUGCUCCUCUCAUUCUCCAAUCUCUGCUGAAGUAUGUUCUCCUUGGAGAGGGCCCCCUUAUCCUGACUUUUGUUCACCCCAACUCUCAGCUCACUUGCUCUCAGAAGAUAUGGGACCAAUCAGCCUGUGCGCUCUUUAGGUGUCAACAAGGACUGGGCUCCUAGAGCCCUGCUGUGCUGCAGUGGCCCUAGCUUCUAGCACUGGAGUUGGCAGACAGGUCACAGGAACUGUUUGUUUGGUAAAUGAAAGCAUGCAAUUAGCACUCAUAAUUAGGACUGGUUAGAAUAGUCAGUGGUUUUGAAAAUUCAAAUAUAUAAAAUAUAAGACUAUGUCAAUGAAGCAACAAAUUCCAGACAACGGCUAUGACACUGGAGCAGGUCAGAUGCUCCCAAAGCGCACUGAGGACUUCAAUGUUCUAGUGAACGUUACAGGAGCAGCUGGCACAAGCUCACACAAACAGCUGUAAAACUUAGUGAGGAUGUUUAAAGUACAAAAAUCUCCCUUUUCUCUUUCCCAUUUCCUCAUUUUUAUUAUAGUCCUUAUUUCUGACUAGAGUAUUAGCAGUUCUGCAGACAGAAAUAGCUAUAUGAUCACAAAUUUUUCCUCACAUGACUACAACUGUAUACAACUUUGUGUAUAUCAUUUGAUUAACUGUUUUAGAUUAUUUAUUUGACCAACAAAUUAAUUAAGAGAAAAAUAUUUAAAACUUUAUGAUGAUCAAUAUAAUAGGUUUUGUUAUUACUUUCCCUCCUUUUCAUUCUAAAUUGUCCUCUAAGAUGUCAAACCGUCUAUUUUAUGAGUUAUUCUUGAGUACUGGCACCCACACUCAUGAUGUGGUUUCUUUGAAUUUUUUAAGGAGACACUGAUCAUUAUCUUUUCAACUCUUAAAAACACCAUUUUCCCUAAAUCUGACUGCUCCAAAGGCACAGAGCUAACGUUCAGCAAAAUGACAAAACAUUUAUUUUGUGAUUUGUUUGAUAAAGGAAGAGGAUGUGACAAGAUUAAAAAAAAGCAAAGUGGACUUCUACAAAAUAGAAUGUUCUUGUUUUUAAAGGGCUUUUGUUGCCUCAGCCCAGUAUCCUUGACUGACAGGUGUCUAGCUCAUCUCAGGUCAUAUACCAACUGACAGACAGUUGUUGGACAGGUCUUUCUCAUUUUUGCCAAGAAGGUCCUGUAAGCUGCAGUUUAUCUGAAAUAUAAACUACAUGCUGGGGGUAGAAGUGGCAGCAGCUAUACGUUACAUCUGGGGUGUUCUGGAAAUCUCUGCAGAGAGUACUGCUUCCAAACACUCCCCACCAGCCAGGACAAAGCAUGAGUGUGUGCUGGAGGGAAUAAUGCAGCCUGGCCCCAGGGGAGGGACCAGAUGGGACCUAAUAGCUCUUUUCUACUACUAAUUUCUAUGAUAAUUUUAAGUUGCCACAUGGCAUAUGUACUUUUUAAAAUCUAAAGGCAGGAUAUUAUUCAACUGAAUGACCAAUAUUUUAAUGAAAGGUAUGUUACAAACUGUAUCUCUUUACACGUUAUUUCUCACUCACUCGCUGUCCACUAUAAUAUAUCACUUACAACUAGGCUGGGAGAAGUCUAUAGAGAGAGGUCAAAUAGAAUGUGUUUUUAAUCAUUGUUGAUACCAAUUAGAAAUAAAGAAAUUCUAAGUUUUAUUAGGAACUUAGAUGGUUUUUGUAGUGGCUUUAUGAAGUCACUCAUCUUCAUCUUUUUCUUUUCUUAUAUUUGGAGAUCACAUGUGGAUUUAGGGACUACACAUACCAAUUAUUGCUUGAAAGAAAAAUUAGAAACGUGAAAUUUCUCCUGUUUUCAGAGAUAAGAACAGGAAUUAAGAGAGGAAAUAUUAAUGAUUGGAGAAAAUUGCAAAACCUUUUCUUUCCACUCUUAGUGAUGAAUCCAGAUACAACUUGAUUUGGGUACUCCCUUCCCUCUCUU